CAGAUACCAGAACCAAGACUUCCUAGCUGGACUAAGCAAUUGAUUAAACUCGCUACCUGCCGCCUUCUGCUCUUGCCACCCUCCAUACCCAAAGAAGAAAGAAAGGAAACAAACCUUGUGGACUAUCCACAGGAUAACACAAGAAGAGAGUACCACAUCUCAAGACCACAAGAUGGCUUCCAGAGGCAAUGGGGAAUCAAGCUUCAUUACCAUAUUUUACAGGAAAGAUGUUCCAUAAUGUCAUCUCUAGACUAAGCAAAUUCAACGUAAAUAAAAGCAUAAAUUGGUCUCUAACAACAGCUCGAGGGCCUUCUGGCAAGGACUAAGUGACCACCCUUCAAGACUUCAGUCUGUCAAUCAAAUCUUAGGAAAACUUGUCCUUAAGAAAGAGGAGAACUUAAAAAGGAAAUAAAAGAAAACUUGAAAAGAAAAAAGAAGAAAGGGGAAAAGUGGAGCUUGAAGGACAUUAUUGACUCAGUAUACAGAUCAGUAAAAAGAAAUGAAAUAGAAAAAUAUAAAAUAAAUAAAAUAAUUUGAAGAGCCAAAAAUGAAAUAAAGUUCUUGGGCUGAUUUUAACCCAC
ensembl:lncRNA novel transcript